GACGAACGCUGGCGGCGUGCUUAACACAUGCAAGUCGAGCGGUAAGGCCCUUUCGGGGGUACGACGAGCGGCGAACGGGUGAGUAACACGUGGGUGACCUGCCCUCCAGCUCUGGGAUAAGCCUGGGAAACCGGGUCUAAUACUGGAUAUGACUCCAUGACGCAUGUUGUGGGGUGGAAAGCCUUGUGCGGCUGAGGAUGGGCCCGCGGCCUAUCAGCUUGUUGGUGGGGUGAUGGCCUACCAAGGCGACGACGGGUAGCCGGCCUGAGAGGGCGACCGGCCACACUGGGACUGAGACACGGCCCAGACUCCUACGGGA
rnacentral:rRNA from 1 species